UGGGGAAUAUUGCGCAAUGGGCGAAAGCCUGACGCAGCAACGCCGCGUGGGUGAAGAAGGCCUUCGGGUCGUAAAGCUCUGUCUUCUAGGACGAAGGCUCUGGAGUUAAUAGCUACUGGAGAUGACGGUACUAGAGGAGGAAGCCCCGGCUAACUACGUGCCAGCAGCCGCGGUAAAACGUAGGGGGCAAGCGUUGUCCGGAAUUACUGGGCGUAAAGCGCGUGUAGGCGGGUUAAUAAGUCGGAUGUGAAAACUCUGGGCUCAACCCAGAGAGUGCAUCCGAAACUGAUAGUCUUGAGGGCGGGAGAGGAAAGUGGAAUUCCUAGUGUAGCGGUGAAAUGCGUAGAUAUUAGGAGGAACACCAGUGGCGAAGGCGGCUUUCUGGCCCGUACCUGACGCUGAGACGCGAAAGCGUGGGGAGCAAACAGG
rnacentral:rRNA from 1 species